CCCUACGGGGUGCAGCAGGCGCGAAAACUUUACCAUGCGGGCAACCGUGAUAAGGAAACCCCGAGUGCCAGCACAGGCUGGCUGUCCGCCAGUUUAAACAACUGGCGAAGAAAGGGCCGGGCAAGACCGGUGCCAGCCGCCGCGGUAA
rnacentral:rRNA from 1 species